CUUGCAAAAUCCAUAGAAAGGAAUGUGAAAAAGAAGUGACCUCAGAGGCAGGGUUGCAGCACAGGUGCCUGCUGAGAGGACAGCAGAGCUCUUCCCUGGUGCAUGUGGUAGUCUUGGAACUGGAAUAAAUGUCAGAAUUAUUUCAUACCACAACACCCGAAACCGGUAUCAACUGCCAUCAUCAAACAGAGAAAAAGACCCUAAGAAACUUGCUAAGUGAUAACAUAACAGAACAGAAAACAAAUUUCCUGAACACAGAAAAUGAAGUCUCCCUGAAGGAAGGCAAAAGACAAAAAAGAGAGACUAAAAUUGAGUUAACUUUGUUGCAUGUUGUGACAAUAAAGAACUUUGGACAAAAGUAAGCAUAAACUAAUGACCAUGAUUCAGAUACAUCAGCAAGCUGGAAGCAUUUUGGUCAUUGUAGCUGGAUGCCUUAAAGGAA
rnacentral:lncRNA from 1 species